rnacentral:lncRNA from 1 species
UGGGGGUGCGAUCGAGAGAAAGACCAAGGAGAAACCCUUCUCCUCAAAACCUAGCAAGAAAUCAUCAAAUUGAAGGGCAAUAGGGCUGAAAUCUUAUGCAUGAGUGAAGAACUAAGAUCACCUAAGUGUUCUUGACAUCAAAUGAUUUGUGCACAUAUGAUGGCGUGAAGGAGGAAGGUACAAGCCUAACCGGUUCGCAAGCAACGCAAAA